rnacentral:rRNA from 1 species
UACAUAGGGGAGGCAAGCGUUAUCCGGAAUCAUUGGGCGUAAAGCGCGUGUAGGCGGUUCCGUAAGUCCGCUCUGAAAGCCCAGGGCUCAACCCUGGGAGGCGGGUGGAUACUACGGAACUGGAGUACGGAAGAGGAGAUUGGAAUUCCUGGUGUAGCGGUGAAAUGCGCAGAUAUCAGGAGGAACACCAACAGCGAAGGCAGAUCUCUGGGACGUUACUGACGCUGAGACGCGAAAGCGUGGGGAGCAAACAGG